rnacentral:rRNA from 1 species
GACGAACGCUGGCGGCGUGCUUAACACAUGCAAGUCGAACGGAAAGGCCCUGCUUUUGUGGGGUGCUCGAGUGGCGAACGGGUGAGUAACACGUGAGUAACCUGCCCUUGACUUUGGGAUAACUUCAGGAAACUGGGGCUAAUACCGGAUAGGAGCUCCUGCUGCAUGGUGGGGGUUGGAAAGUUUCGGCGGUUGGGGAUGGACUCGCGGCUUAUCAGCUUGUUGGUGGGGUAGUGGCUUACCAAGGCUUUGACGGGUAGCCGGCCUGAGAGGGUGACCGGCCACAUUGGGACUGAGAUACGGCCCAGACUCCUACGGGAGGCAGCAGUGGGGAAUAUUGCACAAUGGGCGGGAGCCUGGUGCAGCAACGCCGCGUGCGGGAUGACGGCCUUCGGGUUGUAAACCGCUUUCGCCUGUGACGAAGCGUGAGUGACGGUAAUGGGUAAAGAAGCACCGGCUAACUACGUG